rnacentral:rRNA from 1 species
AUGGAUGUUUUCCGACUGGAGUCUCGUGUCGCAGCUGUCGUGGACUAUCUCGCAAGGCUGAAGGCCGCCACAUCUCGCAUCGACUCGACGCUCUGGCCUGAGGAGACUCUUCAGAAUGACCUUGAGUCGCUGAUGGCCCGGUUGAACACGAUCCCUGGUCGAGUGCAGGAAUGGAAGAAGUCCUCGGCUCGGUGUGGUGCAGAUGUUGCUCUGUGUCUGGCCCGAGUCCACUGUAAAGAUGCACGAGAAGAGAAGCUGGCGGCCCUUCGGGUGGCCAAUACCAAGAAGCACGACUUUAGGUCCUUUAUGGAAACUUUCCUUGCAGCUGCCACUCGGAUCGCCGACGGAAUUGAUCUUGAUGAAUUCGUUGCACCUUCCAGCCCUCCAUAG